GUCUACAGCCAUGCUACCCUGAACAAGCCAGAUCCCGUCUGAUCUCAGAAGCUAAGCAGAGUCGGGCAUGGUUAGCACUUAGAUGGGAGAACACCUAGAAAGACCAGGUGCUAUGGGUG
rnacentral:rRNA from 1 species